rnacentral:rRNA from 1 species
UACAUUAGAUACCCCUGUAGUCCCAGCCGUAAACUAUGCUCGCUAGGUGUCAGGCAUGGCGCGACCGUGUCUGGUGCCGCAGGGAAGCCGUGAAGCGAGCCACCUGGGAAGUACGGCCGCAAGGCUGAAACUUAAAGGAAUUGCGGGGAGCACCACAACGGGUGGAGCCUGCGGUUUAAUUGGACUCAACGCCGGGAAGCUCACCGGAUAAGACAGCGGAAUGAUUGCCGGGCUGAAGACUCUGCAUGACUAGCUG